rnacentral:rRNA from 1 species
UACGGGGGGGGCAAGCGUUGUUCGGAAUUACUGGGCGUAAAGGGCUCGUAGGCGGCCAACUAAGUCAGACGUGAAAUCCCUCGGCUUAACCGGGGAACUGCGUCUGAUACUGGAUGGCUUGAGUUUGGGAGAGGGAUGCGGAAUUCCAGGUGUAGCGGUGAAAUGCGUAGAGAUGCGGAGGAACACCGAUGGCGAAGGCAGCUCGCUGGGACGGUACUGACGCUGAGGCGCGAAAGCGUGGGGAGCAAACAGG